GGAGAGGUGCUAGAGCGGUUGAAUAGGACGGUUUCGAAAACCGUUAUGGCCGCAAGGCCAUCGCGAGUUCGAAUCUCGCCCUCUCCGCCU
rnacentral:tRNA from 2 species